rnacentral:tRNA from 1 species
GUGGUAGUUCAGUGGUAGAGUGUUUGCCUAGCAUGUAUAGGGCCCUGGGCUCGAUCCUCAGUACCACA